GAUGAACGCUGGCGGCGUGCCUAAUACAUGCAAGUCGAGCGAACGGACGAGAAGCUUGCUUCUCUGAUGUUAGCCGCGCACGGGUGAGUAACACGUGGAUAACCUACCUAUAAGACUGGGAUAACUUCGGGAAACCGGAGCUAAUACCGGAUAAUCUUUUGAACCGCAUGGUUCAAAAGUGAAAGACGGUCUUGCUGUCACUUAUAGAUGGAUCCGCGCUGCAUUAGCUAGUUGGUAAGGUAACGGCUUACCAAGGCAACUAUGCAUAACCGACCUGAGAGGGGGAUCGGCGACACUGGAAGGGAGACACGGACAAGAGUCCUAAGGGAGGCAGCAGUAGGGAAUCUUCGGCAAUGGGCGAAAGCCUUACGGAGCAACGCCGCGUGAGUGAUGAAGGUCUUCGGAUCGUAAAACUCUGUUAUUAGGGAAGAACAGAUGUGUAAGUAACUGUGCACAUCUUGACGGUACCUAAUCAGAAAGCCACGGCUAACUACGUG
rnacentral:rRNA from 1 species